CAGUCGCCACGGUAAUACGAAGGGUGCAAGCGUUACUCGGAAUUACUGGGCGUAAAGCGUGCGUAGGUGGUGGUUUAAGUCCGUUGUGAAAGCCCUGGGCUCAACCUGGGAAUUGCAGUGGAUACUGGGUCACUAGAGUGUGGUAGAGGAUAGUGGAAUUUCCGGUGUAGCAGUGAAAUGCGUAGAGAUCGGAAGGAACAUCUGUGGCGAAGGCGACUAUCUGGGCCAACACUGACACUGAGGCACGAAAGCGUGGGGAGCAAACAGGAUUAGAUACCCGAGUAGUCCCUGUCUCUUAUAU
rnacentral:rRNA from 1 species